rnacentral:misc_RNA from 1 species
GCAAUCUCGGAACAGCACUCGCAGUCAACACGCUCGGCGCUGCGCUUGCGCCGAUCCUGUUCGGCCCCCUGCUCAUUCCGCUAGUUGGUACCAAACCCGCCUUCGUCCUGAUCGCACUCGCGUAUCUUCUCGUCCUGCCAGACGUUCACCGGCGUACCAUCGGAUUGGCUGCCGUGGCGUCGGCAGCAGCAAUCGCGCUGACCUUUUCUCCGCUCUCGUUGCGCUUUGUGAAAACGCCGCCCGGCGGAGAACUGGUGUGGCACCGUGACGGC